AACGAACGCUAUCGGUAUGCUUAACACAUGCAAGUCGGACGGACUAAGUAGGGUUUGCUCCAAUUAGUUAGUGGCAGACGGGUGAGUAACCCGUGGGAAUCUGCCCAUCAGUACGGAAUAACUUUUAGAAAUAAAAGCUAAUACCGUAUAUUCUCUACAGAGGAAAGAUUUAUCUCGGAUGGAUGAGCCCGCGUCAGAUUAGGUAGUUGGUUAGGUAACGGCUCACCAAACCGACGAUCUGUAGCUGGUCUGAGAGGAUGAUCAGCCACACUGGGACUGAGACACGGCCGAGACUCCUACGGGAGGCAGCAGUGGGGAAUAUUGGAAAAUGGGCGAAAGCAUGAUCCAGUAAUACCGAGUGAGCGAUAAAGGCCCUAGGGUUGUAAAGCUCGUUUAGCAAGGAAUAUAAUGACGUUACUUGCAGAAAAAGCCCCGGCUAACUCCGUG
rnacentral:rRNA from 1 species